rnacentral:rRNA from 1 species
UGGGGAAUUUUCCGCAAUGGGGGAAACCCUGAUCUAGCCAUGCCGCGUGAACGAUGAAGGCCCUAGGGUUGUAAAGUUCUUUCAGCGGGGAAGAUAAUGACGGUACCCGCAGAAGAAGCCCCGGCUAACUCCGUGCCAGCAGCCGCGGUAAUACGGAGGGGGCUAGCGUUGUUCGGAAUUACUGGGCGUAAAGCGCACGUAGGCGGAUCAGUCAGUCAGGGGUGAAAUCCCGGGGCUCAACCCCGGAACUGCCUUUGAUACUGCUGGUCUGGAGUCCGAGAGAGGUGAGUGGAAUUCCGAGUGUAGAGGUGAAAUUCGUAGAUAUUCGGAGGAACACCAGUGGCGAAGGCGGCUCACUGGCUCGGAACUGACGCUCAGGUGCGAAAGCGUGGGGAGCAAACAGGAUUAGAUACCCGGGUAGUCC